GUGCUUGCUUUGCCAGCACAUAUACUAAAAUUGGAAUGAUACAGAGAAGAUUAGCAUGGUCCCUGCACAAGCAUGACAUGCAGGUUCGUGAAGUGUUCCAUGUUUUG